rnacentral:rRNA from 1 species
UACGUAGGGUGCGAGCGUUGUCCGGAAUUAUUGGGCGUAAAGGGCUCGUAGGCGGUUUGUCACGUCGGGAGUGAAACUCGGGGCUUAACCCCGAGCCUGCUUCCGAUACGGGCUGACUAGAGGUAUGCAGGGGAGAACGGAAUUCCUGGUGUAGCGGUGAAAUGCGCAGAUAUCAGGAGGAACACCGGUGGCGAAGGCGGUUCUCUGGGCAUUACCUGACGCUGAGGAGCGAAAGUGUGGGGAGCGAACAGG